UACGAAGGGUGCUAGCGUUACUCGGAAUUACUGGGCGUAAAGAGCGCGUAGGCGGCUAGAUAAGUUGGAAGUGAAAUCCCAGAGCUUAACUCUGGAAUUGCUUUCAAAACUGUUUGGCUAGAGAUCGGUAGAGGAUAGUGGAAUUCCCAGUGUAGAAGUGAAAUUCGUAGAUAUUGGGAGGAACACCGGAGGCGAAGGCGGCUAUCUGGGCCGUUUCUGACGCUGUGGCGCGAAAGCGUGGGGAGCAAACAGG
rnacentral:rRNA from 1 species